GGGGGAUAUUGCACAAUGGGGGAAACCCUGAUGCAGCGACGCCGCGUGAGCGAUGAAGUAUUUCGGUAUGUAAAGCUCUAUCAGCAGGGAAGAAGAUGACGGUACCUGACCAAGAAGCCCCGGCUAACUAC
rnacentral:rRNA from 1 species